rnacentral:misc_RNA from 1 species
AGGAUGCCUAACGGGGCGCCCAGGAAAUUAGGGGACGCUAUAAAGAGAUCACGGCCUAGCAGUCCAUAUGCCAGCCAAAGUGAACUUGAGAGGAAUGAGAAAAAUGAUAAAUAGAACGGCAUGAAUUCCACACUCCUUGUUUGUAUUACUAGUUUCAUAGCCACUAAUGGGGAAGCAUACAUUCCCACAGAGCCCACCAGACCAACACUCCCGGUGAAUACCUUGCGAGUAUGGUGAUCAUGCAAUGCAAAAGACGAGAUAGCUGCCGUUAUGGAGAAAACUAGGAUAACUGGUAGCAUAGUAACACCCACUUUUAUCUUUCCUCUAGUUUCAGCGAAUAGAAAAUAUAUGAUGAUGAAAGAAGACUCAAGGAGAAUGCCUAAACUAUUGAUGGUGGCGACAGGGAAGUUCUCCCAUUUGUAGCUUACGACUGGCAAUCCAUACCAAGUGUAAAGGAGA